ensembl:snoRNA
AAGACUAUACUUUCAGGGAUCAUUUCUAUAGUAUGUUUCUAGAGAAGUUUCUCUGAUCGUGUAAAGUACCAGAAACCACGAGGAGGAGUUGAGUGUUCUGUCCAGAGAGUGAAGUUGGUUCUAGGUGUUGCAUUACUGCAACUGCCUUUUUAAUUGCAUCCUUAAUUCUCUUUAGAGAUUAAGAGGAGAGAACAGUCUGAGUGGUU